rnacentral:rRNA from 1 species
UCCGUAGGGGGCAAGCGUUGUCCGGAUUUAUUGGGCGUAAAGGGCGCGUAGGCGGCUUGGCAAGUGGCUGGUGAAAUCCCUCGGCUUAACCGAGGAACUGCCGUCCAAACUGCUUCGCUUGAGACCGGGAGAGGUGAGUGGAAUUCCCAGUGUAGCGGUGAAAUGCGUAGAUAUUGGGAGGAACACCAGUGGCGAAGGCGGCUCACUGGACCGGUACUGACGCUGAUGCGCGAAAGCGUGGGGAGCAAACGGG